UUUAUUUUAAAGUCCAGCCUGUGUCUGCUGCAGAGAGAGGUCAGAGGUCACAGUCUGCAGGGUCCAGCUGUCCGUCUGUGAGGAGUGACCGGUCCAAACGUGAACCUCCAUUCUUUAGUGGUGAACCUGGACCAACGAGAGAGAGGAAGAGGAGUGGUGUUUGUGAGGAGGAGCAGCUGUCCUGCUGUGCUUUGUGUCAGGACGUCCUGAAGGAUCCAGUCUCUACCAGCUGUGGACACUGGUUCUGCAGACAGUGCAUCUCCUCAUACUGGGACCAGUCUGCCUCAUCAGGAGACUCCUCCUGUUCCCAGUGUGGAGAAAAUCCCAGAUCCAGAGCUGGACUGCAGACAGCCAGUCAGAGCAGCUGUGUACAAAAUGUUGGUCUGCAGGAGGUUUUAGAUGAACAUAAGAUCAGUCUGAGGAGGAGAUGUGAAC